rnacentral:lncRNA from 1 species
GAUUUGGACCAUCAGAGGAGCUGCCUUGAGGUGGACAACACGUGUCUGAGAGCUGAUCUCCAAGAGCUGAAGGCUGACACCUCCACCCUCGCGCAGGUGAUCCAGCGGGCUCAACACUCGCAUGGCUUCGAUUUGUUGGAGAGGAGGAAAGCCGUGCUGCUUCUGCAGAAGCUGGAGCCGGAGAUGGCUCAGAUCACCAGCAUAGACGUCAUUGACGAUGCACACUCCAGGCUUGGGGUAGAACGCUGGGAAGCAGCAGCCUCUGAUGUGGAGGCCAGGAUGGCUGCAGAGGUUCUGGCUGAGGUGGGAAAUCCAAAAGCAAAACAAGCAAACAGACCCAAAGAGCAGGGGCAGGAGAGGAUUGUGGGUAGAGUUGUGAACUCUCAGAUACAGAGCGAGGUGGAGGUGUCCAGCUUGACCUCUCGGGUAGAACAGCUCCGGCUCCAGCGGGCCAAGGCCAGGAACUGCAGCACACACUCCACGAGCCAGGUGAGAGAGGAGAGGAUGCAACAGCUGCAGCUGGAGAUGACCUCUCCACAUGUCGCUCAGGAGUGCCUGAGGAAGACACCAGCUGUGAAGAAGCAGCACACGAGCCAGGAGCACAGCCACACCCUUCAAAACCUGCAGACCUAG